rnacentral:snRNA from 1 species
AUACUUACCUGGCGGCGGAGACCCACGAUCCCGCAGGUGGUUCUCCCGGGGCGAGACUCGGUCGUUGCACGCGGGCCGUGCUGACCCCUGCGGUGUCCCCGCGCGGGGGACUCGGCUGCGCAGUUGUGCUAGUGGGGCCUGCGCGCGCUCGCCCCG